rnacentral:rRNA from 1 species
AGAGAUCAUGGCUCAGGAUGAACGCUAGCGGCAGGCUUAAUACAUGCAAGUCGAGGGGCAGCACGGGUAGCAAUACCUGGUGGCGACCGGCAAACGGGUGCGGAACACGUACGCAACCUUCCCAAAACUGGUGAAUAGCCCUCCGAAAGGAGGAUUAAUACACCGUAAGAUAGUGAGAUGGCAUCAUCUUAUUAUUAUAGCUCCGGCGGUUUUGGAUGGGCGUGCGCCUGAUUAGGUAGUUGGCGGGGUAACGGCCCACCAAGCCUGCGAUCAGUAACUGGUGUGAGAGCACGACCAGUCACACGGGCACUGAGACACGGGCCCGACUCCUACGGGAGGCAGCAGUAAGGAAUAUUGGUCAAUGGACGAAAGUCUGAACCAGCCAUGCCGCGUGAAGGAUGAAGGUCCUCUGGAUUGUAAACUUCUUUUAUCUGGGACGAAAAAAGGGAAUUCUUUCCCACUUGACGGUACCAGAGGAAUAAGCACCGGCUAACUCCGCGCCAGCAGCCGCGGUAAUACGGAGGGUGCAAGCGUUAUCCGGAUUUACUGGGUUUAAAGGGUGCGUAGGUGGGUCUGUAAGUCAGUGGUGAAAUCUUCGAGCUUAACUCGGAAACUGCCAUUGAUACUAUAGGUCUUGAAUUAUCUGGAGGUAAGCGGAAUAUGUCAUGUAGCGGUGAAAUGCUUAGAUAUGACAUAAAACACCAAUUGCGAAGGCAGCUUACUACGGAUCGAUUGACACUGAGGCACAAAAGCGUGGGGAUCAAACAGGAUUAAAUACCCUGGUAGUCCACGCCCUUAACGAUGGAUACUC